CGGCGUGGCCACCUCGCAGGGCGGCUUUUCGGGACGCGGGGCUGGGGCGGAGCAAAGGGAGUCAGACUUUCAGGCCCGGCCUUCACCCCCGUCCCCGGGCUCCCCGGCGAGAGUUGCAGCUCUUGGCCACCUCCUGCCCGCACGUGAGCCCGAACACUCGGGACACGCAGUCCCCGCGAGGAAGCCCCAGGAAGCUGCAAGCGACUCGGUGAAUGCAAGCUCCCUGAGAGCAGUGGACUUGUAUGUCUUGUUCGACUCUAUACUCCACAUACCUGAAACGGUGCCUGGCUCAACAACCGUCAGAGGCCUUGCAGUAUUGCCUCGCAGUAUUUGUUUUUCAUCCCUUUCCAACACGCCACCCCAUCUGCUCCAAUAAAAGCCAGGUUCUGAAUGAUGACUGACGCGGGUUUGUGUGACAUCCCUCACAGUCCCUAUCAUUCCCCAGUGAUAAGGAGCCCUCAAGUCUAGCCCAGCACCGGGGGGAAAGCAGCUCUGGACGGAGGAAAGCUUCCGCUCGAGGACCGGACAAAAGUACCGCCUUCGCUCGGGCUUCUGCGCGAGGCGAGGGAUCCAGACACGUCGCCCGGUCCGCUCGCCCUCGCUGGCAGACGGUGCGCGGCCGCCGCA